rnacentral:rRNA from 1 species
CAAUAGCGUAUAUUAAAGUUGUUGCAGUUAAAAAGCUCGUAGUUGGAUUUCGGGGCAGCCUGGCUGGUCCGCCGCAAGGCGAGUACUGGUCAGACGCCCUUCCUCUCGAAAGCCCCGACUGCUCUUCGUUGCAGUGGUCGGGUAGUUCGGGACGUUUACUUUGAAAAAAUUAGAGUGUUCAAGGCAGGCCUACGCCUGAAUACAUUAGCAUGGAAUAAUGGAAGAGGACCUCGGUCCUAUUUUGUUGGUUUCCAGGGCCGAAGUAAUGAUUAAGAGGGACAGUUGGGGGCAUUCGUAUUUAAUUGUCAGAGGUGAAAUUCUCGGAUUUAUGAAAGACGAACAACUGCGAAAGCAUUUGCCAAGGAUGUUUUCAUUAA